UUACUACUGUCCACCAGACUUGCAGACAAAGCAGACCCCGGAGGAAGCUGAGGCAUGACUUCUCAGGAGCCAGCCUUCCAUAUGCAAUUUUCCUCUGAUAGUUCCUGGGUACUGUUGCCACGGUGAUAGUGACUGUCCAUGUCAUUAUCUAUCCACCAAGAGUAAGAGAAGCUUUGCAGUCGAGAUAUUGUUUAACAGAUGGAGUGGUUUCUGUUGGACACUAAGUACUGCUACAAAU
ensembl:snoRNA small Cajal body-specific RNA 13